rnacentral:rRNA from 1 species
AGUAACACGUGGGCAACCUGCCUUACAGAGGGGAUAGCCUUCCGAAAGGAAGAUUAAUACCGCAUAUUAUGAUUUUUCUGCAUGGGAAAGUCAUGAAAGGAGCAAUCCGCUGUAAGAUGGGCCCGCGGCGCAUUAGCUAGUUGGUGAGGUAAGGGCUCACCAAGGCGACGAUGCGUAGCCGACCUGAGAGGGUGAUCGGCCACAUUGGGACUGAGACACGGCCCAGACUCCUACGGGAGGCAGCAUG